rnacentral:rRNA from 1 species
UACGGGGGGAGCAAGCGUUGUUCGGAUUUACUGGGCGUAAAGGGCGCGUAGGCGGUCAGCACAAGUCAGUUGUGAAAUCUCCGGGCUUAACUCGGAAAGGUCAACUGAUACUGUGCGACUAGAGUGCGGAAGGGGCAACUGGAAUUCUCGGUGUAGCGGUGAAAUGCGUAGAUAUCGAGAGGAACACCGGUGGCGAAGGCGGGAUCCUGGGCCAGUACUGACGCUGAGGAGCGAAAGCGUGGGGAGCAAACAGG